rnacentral:lncRNA from 1 species
CGAUUUGUAUAAAAAUUUUACUGAUUUCGUAUUUUUUUUGCAAAAGUAUGUUAUUUUUUACAUUUCAUAGAUUAAAUCUAAAUUUUUAAUAAAUCGAUCAAAAUAUCUUUAUUCCUCUUUAUCUUUUCUUUCUCUCUCCCUCAUACGUUUUUCUCACCCCUCUCCAUUUUCUUCCUUUUCACCAUUCCUUUAUCUCUUCCUCCUCCAACUCUCUCUCCUUUCUCCACCGCCACCUCCCUACCCACCCCCCACU